UUUGGCAUGAGCAUGGUUGUUUAAAUUCAAAUCUAUUUUAUGAAAUUCCUAAAAGUGGUAUUAGAACUACCUCAUAUUAUAUAUUUGAGAAUGAUUUCUUUUUUCGAAUUCGGUAUUUAGAUUUUUGUGGUAAAUUUUUGGGAUUCAAGAAACACAUUUUUUCAUGGAUAUGGUUUGGCAUAAAUAAAAAAAUUGAAAAAACCCAGUUUUGACUGCAAGGUUGCAUGGCAUCACGGUUGCGACAUCACAGACGUGACUAGAUAGUGAGGCACGACCUCAGGAUCAAGCUGCUGGACGAGCCAUGACAUUUUGGCCAUGACUAAGAGAAAAGAGUGACGGUCAAAAGACACCGCAUAAAGAAAACAAAACAUGUCGCAAGUGGCAUUGCUAGAAAUGGUGUAGUCCUGCGACCACAUUGGCAAGAAGGGCAGUGGCUAGACGACUGUGAAUUCUAAGUGAUUGUAACCAUCAGUCGUUUGGUCCCUUAAAGGGGCUGGUGGCCGAUCAGCCGCUUCAAGGAGGAAGAAGGAA
rnacentral:lncRNA from 1 species